GUCCACGCCGUAAACUAUGGAUACUAGGUGUCCGGAAUGUUAACCUUCUGGGUACCGUAGCUCACGCAUUAAGUAUCCCGCCUGGGGAGUACGGUCGCAAGACUAAAACUCAAAGGAAUUGACGGGGGCCCGCACAAGCGGUGGAGUAUGUGGUUUAAUUCGAAGCAACGCGCAGAACCUUACCUGGGCUUAACAUCCCCUGACAUCCACAGAGAUGUGGCUUUCCCUUCGGGGACAGGGAGAUAGGUGCUGCAUGGCUGUCGU
rnacentral:rRNA from 1 species